GCUCAGUGAAGAGUUGGUGGACAGCAGCAAAGCCUGUUGCUUUCUUGCGAGAUGUACUCGGUGGUUUCCUAUAAAAAUACGUUCUCUCUCGUUCAUGAUCAUCUUCCUUCUCGGAAUCUUCACUGCUUGAUGAUAAGCUGUCGUCCCGACGUCCUUCUUCAGGCUGGAAGGGAAUGCCAGGUGAGAAGACUGCUGGAGUUUUAGGUGAACCAAAUACUGAGCAUGAGCCUUCACUAGGAGAUGAGUAAUGGGAGGGACCAUCAAUAAUUACAGACAAAAGGUCCAUUUCUGUCUCCUCCG
rnacentral:lncRNA from 1 species